UACGUAGGGGGCAAGCGUUGUCCGGAAUCAUUGGGCGUAAAGAGCGCGUAGGCGGCCCUGUAAGUCCGCUGUGAAAGUCAAGGGCUCAACCCUUGGAUGCCGGUGGAUACUGCAGGGCUAGAGUCCGGAAGAGGCGAGUGGAAUUCCUGGUGUAGCGGUGAAAUUCGUAGAUAUUCGGAAGAACACCAGUGGCGAAGGCGACUUACUGGACACAUAUUGACGCUGAGGUGCGAAAGCGUGGGGAGCAAACAGGG
rnacentral:rRNA from 1 species